GACGAACGCUGGCGGCGUGCUUAACACAUGCAAGUCGAGCGGUAAGGCCCUUUCGGGGGUACGACGAGCGGCGAACGGGUGAGUAACACGUGGGUGACCUGCCCUUACGCUCUGGGAUAAGCCUGGGAAACUGGGUCUAAUACCGGAUAUGACUCCAUAACGCAUGUUGUGGGGUGGAAAGCCUUGUGCGGCUAGGGAUGGGCCCGCGGCCUAUCAGCUUGUUGGUGGGGUGAUGGCCUACCAAGGCGACGACGGGUAGCCGGCCUGAGAGGGCGACCGGCCACACUGGGACUGAGACACGGCCCAGACUCCUACGGGAGGCAGCAGUGGGGAAUCUUGCGCAAUGGGCGAAAGCCUGACGCAGCGACGCCGCGU
rnacentral:rRNA from 1 species